rnacentral:rRNA from 1 species
GGCGGCGUGCUUAACACAUGCAAGUCGAGCGGAAAGGCCCUUCGGGGUACUCGAGCGGCGAACGGGUGAGUAACACGUGAGUAACCUGCCCCAGACUUUGGGAUAACCCUCGGAAACGGGGGCUAAUACCGAAUAUGACUCGGUCUCGCAUGGGAUCCGGGUGGAAAGUUUUUCGGUUUGGGAUGGACUCGCGGCCUAUCAGCUUGUUGGUGGGGUAAUGGCCUACCAAGGCGACGACGGGUAGCCGGCCUGAGAGGGCGACCGGCCACACUGGGACUGAGACACGGCCCAGACUCCUACGGGAGGCAGCAGUGGGGAAUAUUGCACAAUGGGCGGAAGCCUGAUGCAGCGACGCCGCGCGAGGGAUGACGGCCUUCGGGUUGUAAACCUCUUUCAGCAGGGACGAAGCGUAAGUGACGGUACCUGCAGAAGAAGCGCCGGCCAACUACGUGCCAGCAGCCGCGGUAAGACGUAGGGCGCGAGCGUUGUCCGGAUUUAUUGGGCGUAAAGAGCUCGUAGGCGGCUUGUCGCGUCGAAUGUGAAAUCUCAGGGCUCAACUCUGACAUUGCAUUCGAUACGGGCAGGCUAGAGUUCGGUAGGGGAGACUGGAAUUCCUGGUGUAGCGGUGAAAUGCGCAGAUAUCAGGAGGAACACCGGUGGCGAAGGCGGGUCUCUGGGCCGAUACUGACGCUGAGGAGCGAAAGCGUGGGGAGCGAACAGGAUUAGAUACCCUGGUAGUCCACGCUGUAAACGUUGGGCGCUAGGUGUGGGGACCCUCUCCGGUCUUCUGCGCCGCAGCUAACGCAUUAAGCGCCCCGCCUGGGGAGUACGGCCGC